rnacentral:snRNA from 8 species
UGGAUUUUUCGAACAGGGAGUCGGAAAUGGGGCUUGCUCCGUCCGCUCCACGCAUCGACCCGGUAUUGCAGUACCUCCGGGAAUGGUGCAACACUU